GCGGAUAUAGCUCAGCUGGUUAGAGCGCUACACUGAUAAUGUAGAGGUCCCAAGUUCAAGUCUUGGUAUCCGCA
rnacentral:tRNA from 1 species